UGAUGGGCCUGGAAAUUCCCCUUUGCACAGGAAGUGGAAUCUCUGUUACGAAAGCUCUGCAUUUCCUCCAGUAUCACGAAACAUGGAGUGCCGGGCAAGUUCCAUUCACUAUAGCAUGCCAGCAACUUCAACUACAACUUGGGCGGGGGGAAGGGGAGGCAGCAGGAGAAUGAGGGGCAUUAUAGCACUGCAAGGUCAAGCAGGAUAGCAUUGAUCAGGAUUACGACCUUACUUUCUGAAAAUACAAGCCCAGAGCAAUGCAACAAACCUAAGUGCCUGCUAUAUGAAGAGCUAAGGGCUGGAGUAGGUACAAAGUUUGUUUGGGACAUGUUCCCUGCCCUCAUAGAAUUUACUGUCCAGUAGUACUCACAAAGAACUCUAAUGUACAAUGUUAUACAAUUAGGAGAGUCAACACAAUCGAGGGGAUAAGGAACUGACUUUGGAGUUAAGAAGACCUGAGUUCAAGUCCUGCAAGUUCAGGCCACUUUCUAAGAUGCUAAUUUUCAAAGGAGGGGCCAAUCUGCUCUGGAAAAAGAAGUUUCUCACUGGAAGUUAUCCUACACUAAGGGAACCACAGGUAUGAUCCAACAAAAGACUAGUGGAAGAAUACAGCCAAAGCUUACUCUUUGCCCUGGCUGCAGAACUAGCUGGGAAGGCUGGAGGCCUUGUCCUCCCCAGAAGCCACCUACAGAUUGAGAAGCAAUGAUUCCUGCAGCCCCUCCAUUUAAUUAGGGUGCUGAUUACCAAAUGGUCUCUGGAAAGGGUUACGAAUGCUUUCAGUGGAAUGAGACAUUGAAUCUAGAAAUCAUGGAAAAGACCCAGCGCUACCUUGGUAUUCUUAAUCAAAAACUUCGUUCUAAGGUACAUGUGCAGGUGGAGAGACAGAUAACCAGACGCUUAAGUGGAGCUGCUAAAUGGACUGGUUUUCCCAAGAAAGCAGGAAGUCAGAAGAGCAUUCAAAGGACCUGGAACUGCUGUGUAUUGAUUAGACAGCACUGAGCCUCUUUCGGAACUUUGAUGAUUAAUUCAGGCUAUAAAAAUCUAUAUGAGAAGCCUAAGUCUGCUUGGAAGAAGCUGUAGAAGGUGACCUAUGUCACCCUGAGCUCCUGAAUCGCUAGGAUAUGGGUGACUUUUGGAAAUAAAGUACCAGGUCUAAAGUCA
rnacentral:lncRNA from 1 species